rnacentral:rRNA from 1 species
CUACGGGUUGCACCAGUGAGGAAUAUUGCACAAUGGGGGGAACCCUGAUGCAGCAACGCCGCGUGGAGGAUGACGCAUUUCGGUGUGUAAACUCCUUUUAUAUGUCAAGAAAAUGACGGUAGCAUAUGAAUAAGCACCGGCCAACUCCGUGCCAGCAGCCGCGGUAAUACGGAGGGUGCAAGCGUUACUCGGAAUCACUGGGCGUAAAGGACGCGUAGGCGGGUUGGAAAGUCAGGUGUGAAAUCCUACAGCUUAACUGUAGAACUGCACUUGAAACUUCUAAGCUAGAGUAUGGGAGGGGGAGAUGGAAUUAGUGGUGUAGGGGUAAAAUCCGUAGAUAUCACUAGGAAUACCUAAAGCGAAGGCGAUCUCCUGGAACAUUACUGACGCUAAGGCGUGAAAGCGUGGGGAGCAAACAGGAUUAGAUACCCGCGUAGUC